rfam:Asian citrus Psyllid, Diaphorina citri - Florida Strain, whole genome shotgun sequence.
CCCAUAGUGUAGUGGCCACUGUGCCCGCUUUUCACGCGGGAGACCCGGGUUCGAUUCCCGGCGGG